UCAUCUGCCACUGUGAGAAAGUUAACCACUGAGUUGCAGAUUCCAGUAAAGUGCAUUAAAUUUUCACAACCUCCAACCCAACUCCCCCAAUAUUCUUUCACUUUCUUCUUCACUCACCACUCCUCCUUUGAUGCAAGUGGGAACAUCCCACCAAACCUUGAGUCAGAGAUUCACCUCAAUCCACCCACUUCAUCUAUGGCUGCAUUUACCACUUCCCAUUACUUCAAAACCUUAACUUUCUUCAUUUUAUUCCUCAAAACCCUAGCUUUUCAUCCAGCUCCAUUGUUUUCUUUUGCUGAUUUUGAAAAAGAUCCAAAAUUUAACUCCACUGUGGCCCUUUAUGGUAAUGCAAAGGUUGUGAGGUCCUGGAUUCAUUUCUCUGGUUCAGGGAGUUCAAGCUCUGGGAAGGUCUUAUACAAGAAGCCUAUCAAGCUUGUUGAAGGUAAACCAAGACAAUUAGUCUCCUUUUCAACUUACUUUGCAUUUUCCAUCCCCUUGGAUAGUGAGGGUGGUUUGGCUUUUGUUCUGUUUCCAAAAGGUUCUAAAGGUGAUGUUUUUAAUCAAAGUUUAUCUGGGUUUCCUUUUGGAUUAAAAAGUACAAAUUUUGAAGCUAUUGGUGUUAAGUUUAGUGCUUCAAGGAAUAGUGGAAAUGGGGUUUCUGCUAAUUGUAAUGUGACCAUGUAUGUGGGUAAUUCAGUUCUAGCUAAAAAAAGUUACAACUCCUCUAUCAAUUUGGCUUUGAGAAAUGAAGAUAUGUUGCAUGCUUGGAUUGAUUAUGAAGCAAGUUCAAGGCGCUUAGAAGUUAGAUUGAGCAAACAUGGUGGUAAUUCAAGGCCUUCUGAUCCAUUUCUCUGGCACUCAAUUGACAUAACCAAUGUGUUGAAGGAGAAAGAAAUGCUUAUGGGAUUUAGUUCUGUGAAGGGGAAUGCUUGCUUUCUCUAUUCAUGGAGCUUUGUUUUAAGGCAUUUUCCACAUUCAGUGCAUUCAGAUCCUCUGGAUCCGAAGGUUUUUGUUGAAAACAUUGAAUCUCCAAUGGUUAGACCAGGGACAAGGAGUGAUUGCUUUUUGAGAAUUCUUGCUGCUAUUAUAUUUGGUACAGGAUGUGGAGCAUUGGUUGCAUUUAUUGUUCUUUACUUUUGGACCAUCUUUAGCAAUAGACGUGUAGUGGUGCCAGAGGAAUCUGUUAUGCAACCUGUUGAUGUUGAGUAUAGGAAAGUCAAAAUUGUUGUAGACAAAACCAUCGAAGAUGGUAAGAAGUAGUUCUUCAUGAGGGAACUUGUUUGAAUGUCUUUGUAAAUUUAAUGUUCUUUUGUAUUUAGUUUUUUGCUCUAUUUUAGUCUGGUAAGGAACUAUCUAUUUGAUUUCUCUUACAUUGUCUAUUGUUGAUCAUAUUGAGAUUGAGAUUCAGCUCUUCUUCAAAGAAAGCUUAUAUUUCGUGGAAGAUCCAAAUUGGAGUUAUUAAUGAACUGUAAGAGGCUGUUGACAGAUUGUAUUAUAUGAUGAAUUGAUGAUGUAUUGAAUGAUCAUGAUAAAACUUUAUUAUGUGUUUGAUCAUGACAAAAAAUGAUAGAGGGAAAUGUGUAGUGUUUUGAUGGGCUGUGCUCACUGUUUUGAUGAUGAUGUCUAAUAUGAGUCACCAACAAAAGUGACUCAUGUUAUACUACAAAUUAGUAGAGGGAAUUUUUACUGGUCGUCUAUUUUACUUGACAUUCAGCCACCCCCACAUGUGCCAUCAUCACCAUCACCUCCGGCCACUCAUCCUCCAGAGCCUCCCUCCACCAAAAUCACAGGAAAAGGAGUUAUGUUCUUUUUUCAUGAUCUUGGCAUAACACCCCACCCCAUCCUGGUUGAUCUAUGGACAAGGUUGGUGGUUGGCACUGUGUGACAGGGGUUUGGGGUGGCUUAUUCACUUAUGGAGCAACACGGUUGCUUACAAGGAUUGAGUUUGAGGGUCUAGUCGUAUGGUGUGGGAGGCUAGGUGAAGGGGCUGUUAUGGAGGUCUUUUGGUUGUUCUGGGAAGGGCAAGUCGUGCUGCACAGGUUAGGCCUAACCAUUUGUCCCAACCCCUUAACCGAACUUUCCUUAAAACAAAUUGGAAUACUCACUCCAAGAGGUGCCUCUUAGAAUUUUGGGUCACAAAUGUAACUUUUAAUUGUGUUAGGGCCAUUAUUUAAUUAGCCAAAAUUAAAGUGGUCUAUUUAAUAUUGAUCUUAUGGCGAAUGACAUAUGUGUUAUGAAAAGGUAUUGUGCAGAUACCAUAAGGCAAUAUUCUAAUUUGAUGAGGGGCCAAAUUAGAAAUAUUGAAAACAUAAUUGUAACUGAUGCAGUUACUUAUAGGGUUAUGGUCUCCAAUUGUAGAUACAACGUAACAACGUAAAAAGUUUCUCCUCAUCCCCAUUAGAGGAGAACAUCAGGAAACCCUAAGGGUGAUCUACAAUUGGAAGAUCACAACCCCAAAUCCUUCAGCGAUUCCCAUGGCUCAUUCAGCAACUAUUGGUUCGAUAUCUGCUAAUCUAAAUUCGGUUCCGGUCCUUGAUGGAACAAAUUUUAAGGACUGGAAAGAGAACAUGGAAAUUGUUCUUGGCUGCAUGGAUCUUGACCUUGCACUAAGGGUGGAGAAACCCGCUUCUCCUACGGAAUCUAGUACCUCUGAACAGAGGAAAGAUUAUGAGAAGUGGGAUCGCUCCAAUCGCAUGAGUCUUAUGAUCAUUAAGCGCGGCAUUCCUGAGGUCUUUAGGGGUACUAUCUCGGAAGAGAUAAAAGGUGCCAAAGAUUUCCUUGCUGAAAUUGAAAAGCGCUUUGCAAAAAGCGAUAAGGCGGAAACAAGUACUCUUCUUCAGAACUUGAUUUCCAUGAAAUAUCAGGGCAAAGGAAAUAUAAGGGAAUACAUUAUGGGCAUGUCAAAUAUUGCUUCAAAACUUAAGGCGCUAAAGCUUGAGCUGUCGGAUGACUUGCUCAUUCAUUUAGUAUUGCUUUCUCUUCCUGCACAAUUCAGUCAGUUUAAGAUAUCUUAUAACUGUCAAAAGGAGAAAUGGUCUCUUAACAAGCUCAUUUCAUUUUGUGUGCAAGAAGAGGAAAGGUUAAAGCAAGAAAUGAAAGAAAGUGCGCAUUUUGUUAGCACCUCUAAAGACAAGGCCAAAAGAAAGAAAACUGUUGAGCCCAAGAAUGAAGCUGCUGAUGCUCCAGCACAAAAGAAACAGAAAGAGGAUGAUACCUGUUACUUUUGCAAUGUGUCUGGGCAUAUGAAAAAGAAAUGUGCUAAAUAUCACGCUUGGCGUGCAAGGAAAGGUACAUUUUUUGCUUUGGUCUGUUCUGAGGUCAAUUUAGCUUCAGUACCUAGAAACACUUGGUGGUUAGACUCUGGUGCAACUACUAACAUCAGUGUUUCAAUGCAGGGUUGCCUAAGCUACCAGAAGCCAAAUGAUGUUGAAAGAUACAUCUAUGUUGGAGAUGGCAAGACGGUGGAGGUGGAAGCUAUAGGGCAUUUUAGAUUAUUAUUGUGUACUGGAUUUUAUUUGGAUUUGAAAGACACUUUUGUGGUACCGUCAUUUAGACGGAAUUUAAUUUCAGUUUCUAAUUUGGACAAAUCAGGUUAUUCAUGUUCAUUUGGAAACAGUAAAGCCGAGUUGUCUUUUAAUUCAAAUAUUGUUGGAACCGGUUCACUUAUUGGAUAUGAUAAUCUGUAUUUGCUGA